rnacentral:RNase_P_RNA from 1 species
AGAGCAGACCAGACAGUCGCGGAUGGAUGACGAAAGAAACCAUCUGAGGAAAGUCCGGGCUCCGCAGGGCAAGAAUAACGGCUAACGGCCGCCGGGGGUGACCCUAGGGAAAGUGCAACAGAGAUAUACCGCCGCUUUUGCGGUAAGGAUGGAAAGGCGAGGUAAGAGCUCACCAGCGUGGUGGAGACAUCACGGCUAUGUAAACCCUAUUCGGAGCAACACCGUGGAGAAACAAUGCCUGCCCGGCAGUUUCGAGGAGGUGGCGUGAGCCAAAGGGCAACCUUUGGCCAAGAUAGAUGACUGUUUAAUACAGAACCCGGCUUACAGAUCUGCUCUUUUA